CGGCGAGUGUAGCGGGAGAGCUCAAAUUUGAAUCUGGUAGCCUUCGGUUGCCCGAGUUGUAAUCUAGAGAAGUGUUUUCCGUGCCGCCCAUGUACAAGUCCCUUGGAACAGGGCGUCAUAGAGGGUGAGAAUCCCGUCCUUGACAUGGACCCCCGGUGCUUUGUGAUACACUUUCAACGAGUCGAGUUGUUUGGGAAUGCAGCUCAAAAUGGGUGGUGAAUUCCAUCUAAAGCUAAAUAUUGGCGAGAGACCGAUAGCGAACAAGUACCGUGAGGGAAAGAUGAAAAGCACUUUGGAAAGAGAGUUAAACAGUACGUGAAAUUGUUGAAAGGGAAACGAUUGAAGUCAGUCAUGCUCUUGGGACUUACCUCCCUUGAGUGGGGUCAACAUCAGUUUUGAUCGAUGGAUAAAGGCACGGGGAAGGUAGCACUCUCGGGUGAACUUAUAGCCUCGCGUCAUAUACAUUGAUUGGGACUGAGGAACGCAGCAUGCCUUAUGGCCGGGAUUCGUCCACGUACAUGCUUAGGAUGUUGACAUAAUGGCUUUAAACGACCCGUCUUGAAAACACGGACC
rnacentral:rRNA from 1 species